rnacentral:rRNA from 1 species
GUCUAUUAAAUCUCUUGUGAAAUCGUCGGGCUAAACCUGACGGCGUGCAGGGGACACUGAUAGACUAGAGACCGGGAGGGGUUAGAGGUAUUCCUAGGGGAGCGGUAAAAUGCUAUAAUCCUAGGAGGACCACCUAUGGCGAAGGCAUCUAACCAGAACGGGUCUGACUGUGAGGAACGAAAGCCAGGGGAGCAAACCGGAUUAGAUACCCGAGUAGUCCUGGCAGUAAACGCUGCGAGCAAGGUGUUGCAUAUUCUAAUAUGAAUAUGCAGUGUCGAAAUGAAGAUGUUAAGCUCGCCGCCUGGGAAGUACGGACGCAACGUUGAAACUUAAAGGAAUUGGCGGGGGAGCACUACAAGGGGUGCGGCGUGCGGUUUAAUUGAAUUCAACACCGAGAAUCUCACCAGGAGCGACGGCAGAAUGAAGGUCAGUCUAAAGGGCUUACCCGACGAGCCGAGAGGUGGUGCAUGGCCGUCUUCAGCUCGUGCCAUGAGGUGUCCUAUCAAGUCAGGCUACGAGCGAGACCUGCAUCUACAAUUGCUCACAGCUCUAUUGGAGGACUGAGCACAUUGUAGAGACUGCCUUGGAAACAAGGAGGAAGUUGCAGGCUACGAUAGGUCUGUAUGCCCCGAAUCCCCUGGGCUACACGCGCGCAACAAUGGUAGAGACAAUGGG